CUACCCGCGUGCUGCGACACCGACGCGCGGAGGGACACUGGUUGGCCGCCGGCAAGGAAAUGCACCGCAUAAGGUGCCUAGGAAACGUACUCCAAGGUCCUUGAGCGGCGCAGGCGCAGUGAACGUGUACACGAUGCGCGAAAUAUCACAGACGUGAUAUCUGUGCGUUUUGAUAAUUCUGCGAAAAUGCUUUUGGACAAAUGUAAGGAAUGCAACAUCUGACCAUUAUCAUCUAUGAGGACUACCCUACACCAGUAUAGAAUAAGCAAAUUUUAAACGCAAAUUCAGCAUCAAUUUGACAGCACGGAUAGCCGAGUGAUUGAAGUCAUCACGCCAAAAUUCACUGACCACAUCCUGCCUCAGGCUUUAUCCCUGCGUAGGAUUAGCUCUUCAAUAAAACAAGAAUUCUCUGAGUCUGGAGGUCUUUGUGACUAAAAUGUUUGUAAAAACCUAGCAACAAAAAGAAUAAAAUUCCUUAGCGCAAGGUGCGUUUUUUAUGUUUCUUUUAACUAGUAACUCGCCUAUAAAUUGUACCACAAUUAACUAUUACACAACCAAACACCUUUCUCAUAACCUCUCAACCACAGUACCUGCUGCCAACAACAACUAUUCUGACUCACGAAAUAGCUACCACGCCCUUAAGUAUUAGUGCAUAAGGUGGAAAUUCCAAUACUUCUUUCUUUUGUAAUUUAUAGUAAAAGGUUGUAAUUGUGAUAGUUGACAGUUGACGCAUCUUUAACGAGAGUGACAGGAACUUUCACGGCUGGAUAAUUAUUAAAAAGUGAAGUUAAUUACUUAAUUAAAUGUAAUAUGUUAUGUGUGCUUAUGUGGAUAGCACUAGGUGGGAAAUUAGCUUGCAGAAAAGACAGACAUAGUUCAGUAAACCAUUAAAAACUAUAUAAUUUGUGAUGUAUUAUAAUAAUAUUGG